rnacentral:rRNA from 1 species
GGCGACCGGCGCACGGGUGAGUAACGCGUAUCCAACCUGCCCUUUACUAUGGGACAGCCCGUCGAAAGGCGGAUUAAUACCGUAUGUUGUCAUGUUGAUGCANAUUUUCAUGACCAAAGGCUUCGGCCGGUAAAGGAUGGGGAUGCGUCUGAUUAGCUUGCCGCGGGGUAACGGCCCACCGGGGCGACGAUCAGUAGGGGUUCUGAGAGGAAGGUCCCCCACAUUGGAACUGAGACACGGUCCAAACUCCUACGGGAGGCAGCAG